CGGACGGGUGAGUAACGCGUGGGUAACCUGCCUCAUACAGGGGGAUAACAGUUAGAAAUGACUGCUAAUACCGCAUAAGACCACAGUACCGCAUGGUACGGUGUGAAAAACUCCGGUGGUAUGAGAUGGACCCGCGUCUGAUUAGCUAGUUGGUGAGGUAACGGCCCACCAAGGCGACGAUCAGUAGCCGACCUGAGAGGGUGACCGGCCACAUUGGGACUGAGACACGGCCCAG
rnacentral:rRNA from 1 species